rnacentral:lncRNA from 1 species
UCUCCCUAUUUUCUAGAUUACAACUAGAACUAACUAGAACUAGAACUAGAGGAACUAGAACAAGAACUAGAUGAACUAGAACUAGAUCUAGAUGAACUAGAGGUAGAACUAGAAGGAUCCUCUCUACUUGGAUGAAGAAUUGAAACCCUAACUUUGAUUCUGUAGAAGAGGUAUGAUCUCCAGGGGCCAGGGGGCCUUGCUUAUAUAGUCUUUUCAGCUGAAUCUGGGCCGUUGGAUCAAACCGACAUUGAUUGAACGGUUAUCCUUGAUCCUUUAGGUCGGUGGAACAAUAUCCCGAAAGAGAGUCCUGAUUGGACUCUGGUUGAGGGCGGGCGCCCAGGAGACGAGGGCGGGCGCCCUGUCCCUGAGUCCUCUCGGCCUCUGCUUCGGUCCCGUGGUUUCUGGAGUCUUCUAGAUGAUAGAAAAUUGCGUGGCACGUUAAUAUCUCUAUGUAAACCCGACGUGUGGGCCUUUCCUCCGUAUUUCCUGAUAACCCCCUGCAGAAAUAGACAAACACCAAAACUCGUGGAAUUCUGUCAGAUAAAACCCUAAGUCUAGGUGUUGGUUGCAUUUGGAUCCUUUUCUAUGAUUAGUUGAUGGUUAAAUGUGAGCAUUAAGGACCGUCAACAAGCUCCCCCAAGCUUAACCUUUGCUCGUCCCUGAGCAAAGAUGAACUCAAGAGUUUCUGCAGUGGUUUCAUGCCUUAAAGGUACACAUGCGUUCAAACAAGAUCUCAUCUCUGGGUUAGGGUAGACUUUUAAGAUUGAAAAUUUAAUCAUUUUACCUUUUACCAUGGGGCUUGCAACCAUCACUUGUGUCUUGAGGAGUUAAAAGAUAGAACGGUCUAGUCAUGUGUCAUGUCUCUUGUUCUUUGAUUAACUAUAGCUCUGGAGUUUUUCCCUUUUUUCAUAUAAAACUCAGAGAUUCCUUGUAUGACUCUCUCUAGUCUCUCUUUUGUGGUAUUUCUGGAUCCUUACCAGGCAGUAAUGGUGUAUGCCUUCUCUCAAAGUAUGUGGUAUUUUUGGUAUGAAGCAUAGUGACAUUGCCUUCUCUCUCACCCUACUCUAAUAAGGUUUUGAUAUCUGGAGCUCAUAGGUGGGAGACAGCUAAUACAUACUUAAAAGACAUUUAUUGCAUAGUCAAACCAUGGAUCCAGAAGAACAAGUCAAUAAGUCAAAUCAAGAUGUGCAUGUGUGGCGAAUGAAUGGUGUAUGGUAAUGAUGGUGAUAACAAUGGUGAAAGUCUAAUUCUACUUGUGCUCUUUUGAGGGGAUACAUACCUUUCUUGCUCUUUUGAAACUUUUUGAGGUGAAUGAGAUGCUCUAUAUUUUCUUUUUCUUUUCUCUCAGGUGGGUAUCUUGUACCCCUAAUUCUACUGUCAGACACUUGUCCAUUUUUACCUCUCGUCUCACUUUUUCCUUUCUUUCGAGGUUCCGGGCACUUGCCCCUUUUUAUUUCCUCGUAUCUUCUCUUUUUUUUUCUCUUUUUUUAGAGCACUCACUUCCUAAAAUAAUAUAACAAGUGGUAGUAACCAAGAUAACUUGAGCAUUUAUUUCAUAGGGAAAAACAGAAAUAGGAGAAUGUUUUUGGCUAUUCUCUCCCGGAUUAGGAGUAGAAUAUUUUUAGGUGGUUCUGGAGAUAGAAAUGGGUGGAUAUAUGUGGAUGCGUACUGUUGGGUAUUCUUAACAUCAUUACUAAAAGUAGACUAAGUUCUAAAUCUAGCAACGGUGCCAAAAAUGCCAAACCUAUCCCUCACACCACUUAAGCCAAGUUGUCAUCCCCAGCAUGAUAUGAGAGACGCGGUAUUGAAAUAUGCAAUUGCUCUUCUAAAUAAAUAAUGAAUGGGAUCUGCAAGCGCACAGAUUAAUACCGAUGUAGCAUUUUAACCGGGAAGUAUUCCAGGUAUCGUUAUUUAUAUUUUUACCACUGGGAAGGGAUUAGAAAUCAUAACUAAUGAUUACAGAAUAGAAUAUGAGAUUGAGCAUCUAUCAUUGCAUGUAUAAUUGAGAACAUUAUAUCUAACUCAUCAUACAGGGAUAAAUGUCACAUAAAAGAUAUAUGAAAUAAUAAUAGUGACAAGGAUAACUAAUCUGAUCUAGCCACAUAAUAAAUAUGAUAAGCACCUCAAUUAGAUACUCUAGAAAGUCAUUAGCAUGGUAUUAGAACGAACUACAAGAAUAUUCCCUAAGUUAUUCUUAACUAUAUAGUCUAGCAUAUCAUAGUUAGUGCAAGCAUACUUAGCAAUCAUUGUGAGACAAGACUACGCCCAUGCAUAGUGAUAAUAGCAAGGAAUAUGAGAAACAUAGCAAUCACUCCCCUGUAAUAAUGUUGCACUGCCAGCCCAAUACACGAGAGGGGGACUAUAUAAGAAUCAAUGAAGCUGUCACUAUCACGAACCACCCCACGAUCUGGCAUAUUGGGUACAAUCGCAGAUAAAUACGGUAUAAGCACCACGCCUACACAAUAUCUAUCAUUUACCCAUGGAUCCGAUGGAUAAACGCUAUACGAUCCUAAGCAUGUAUAUAGAUCGUAUCUAACUAAGCCAAGUACAUAACUAUGAUAAACUAAGAACAAUAUAAUCUUGAAUAUAAGCAAGUAGAGCAAAGUCAUAAGCAAUAUAUUGAAGUAGAACAAAGUCAUAUUUAUAAUAUUGAAGAACAAAGAUAAUUAGAAAGCAAUUAGAAGCACAAUUAGAGAAUUACCAAGAAUCCUCCUGACAGAUCUGGAAACCAAUCGAAGAUUGACUCCUUCUAGUUCUAAUCCUAUGUAGCUAUGCUAAUCUAGAUAUCUAAUUGAUGUGGUGGCUCUAAUCUUGAUCAGAGGCUUCUUCUCCCUUGAUGGAACAAUGAAUUAGGGUUGAGAGGCUCCCUCCUCCAGGGGCCAGGGGGUCUGGUUUUAUAGUCCCUUCAAGUGAAUAUGGGCCCUUGGAUCAAACCGACAUAGAUUGUAUGAUUUAGAUUCAUCCUUUAGGUCGGUGGAGACUUCCCGCAAAGCAGAGUCCUGAUUGGACUUGGACAGGGGGCGGGCGCCCAGUAGGACAGGGCGGGCGCCCUGCCUCUGGCCCCGUUUCGCCUCCGCUUCGGUCUCGUGGCUUCUGGAGUCUUCUAGAUGUAAGAUAAUUGCGCAGCACGUUAAUAUCUUUACGUAAUCCUGACAUGUGGGUCUUUCUUCCAUAUUUCCUGAUAACCCCCUGCAGAAAUAGACAAACACCAAAACUCAUAGAAUUCUGUCAGAUAAAACCAUAAGUCUAGAUCUUGAUUUCAUUUGGAUCCUUUUCUUUAUGUAUUUGAUAAUUAAAUUUGAUACUUAAGGACCGUCAACAAACUCCCCCAAGCUUACCUCUUGCUCGUCUCUGAGCAAGGAUAGACUUAGCUAUGGAUCAUAAGUUGUUGCAAAAAAUUUGACGGUACACAUGCUUUUAAAUAAGAUCUCAUCUCUGAGUUAGAGUAAACUGUCAAGACUUAAAACUUACUUACUUUACCUCCACCAUGGGACUUGUAACUGUCACUUCUGUCUUGAGUGGUUAAAAGAUAGAACGGUCUAGCCAAGUGCCAUGUCUCUUAUUCUUGAUCAGCUAUAGCUUUGGGAUUUUUUUGCAGAUUUUCAAAUAAAACUCAGAGAUUCCUUGUAUGAUUCUCUCAGGUCUCUCUUUUGUGGUAUUUCUGGAUCCUUACCAAGGCAUUUGAUGGUAUAUGCCUUCUCUCAAGAUAAGUGGUAUUUGUGGUAUGAGACAUAGUGAUAUUGCCUUCUCUCUCACCCUACUCUAAUAAGGCUUUAAUAUCUGGAGCUCAUAGGUGGGAGAUAAAGUAUACAUACUUACAAGACAUUUAUUGCAUAGUCAAACCAUGGAUCCAAAGUAACAAGUCAAUAAGUUUAAUCAAGAUGUGCAUGUGUGGCGAAUGAAUGGUAUAUGGUGAUGAUGGAGAUAACAAUGGUGAAAACAAUGGUGGUGGAAGUCUAAUUCUACUUUGCUCUUUUGAGGGGAUACAUACCUUCCUUGCUUUUGAAACUUUAUGAGGAGAAUGAGAUGCUCUUCUUUUUCUUUUCUCUUAGGUGGGUAUCUUGCACCCCUAAUUCUACUGUCGGACACUUGUCCAUUUUUACCUCUCGUCUCACUUUUUCUUUUCUUUCGAGGUUCCGAGCACUUGCUCCUUUUUAUUUCCUCGUAUUAUUCCCUCUUUUUUUUAGAGCACUCAUCUCUUGAGAUAAUAUAGCAAGUGGUAGUAACAAGAUAACUUGAGCAUUUAUUUCACAAGGGAAAAACAGAAAAUAUUUUUGGUUAUUCUCUCCCGGAUUAGGAGUAGAAUAUUUUUAGGUGGUUCUGGAGAUGGAAUGGGUGGAUAUAUGUGGAUGGUACUUCCGGAGUAGAAGUAGCAUAUAUGAGUGAACGUGCAAGUGAAAUCUCGAUUUAACCACAUGACAAGCUCCUAAGGGUCUACACAGCUUGACCACACUCAAUGCUCAUAAGCAGU